GGGCGACAGGCAGCGCGAGGCGGGCGGACAGCGGCACGCGCCGACCCGCGCACGCCCCAGCCCCCGCCCCCGCGCGGCGCGAGGGGAAGGCGGAGGCGGCGCCGCGGCCGCCCAGGGCAGCGCCCCGCCGCGGGAGUGGCGGCCGGCGCGGCGCGGCGCACCUGCGAGCCGCGGGGCGACGAGGGGGGCGGGAGACGAGGAGGCGACCGGAGACGCGGAGUGAGCCGGCGGCCGCGCAGCCCGCCCCGGCGUGCCCAGGCGCCGCGGCCCCGAGGCGAUGGAGCAGGAGAAGUACCUGCCCGAGCUGAUGGCAGAGAAGGACAGCCUGGAUCCCUCCUUUGUUCACGCGAUGCGCCUCCUGGCCGACGAAAUUGAAAAAUUUCAGGGUUCUGAAGGCAAGAAGGAAGAUGAAGAAAAGAAAUAUCUUGAUGUUAUCAGCAACAAAAACAUAAAGCUGUCAGAAAGAGUUCUGAUCCCCGUCAAACAAUAUCCAAAGUUCAAUUUUGUUGGGAAAUUGCUUGGACCAAGAGGAAACUCCUUGAAGAGGUUACAAGAAGAAACAGGUGCAAAAAUGUCGAUCCUGGGGAAAGGAUCCAUGAGGGAUAAAGCUAAGGAGGAAGAACUAAGGAAAAGUGGAGAAGCCAAGUAUGCGCACUUGAGUGAUGAGCUUCACGUAUUAAUUGAAGUCUUUGCUCCACCUGGGGAGGCGUAUUCUCGUAUGAGUCAUGCCUUGGAAGAAAUAAAAAAAUUCCUCGUUCCCGAUUACAAUGAUGAAAUUCGUCAGGAGCAGCUGAGAGAACUGUCGUAUUUGAACGGUUCUGAGGAUUCAGCACGUGGACGGGGCAUUCGAGGAAGAGGCAUCCGUGUGCCACCUGCAGCUCCUUCAAGGGGACGUGGGGGUGCGAUUCCUCCACCCCCGCCUGGACGAGGUGCCCAAGCACCCAGAGGAGCGCCGGUGACCCGUGGAGCCCUCCCUGUCCCACCAGUGGCGAGGGGCGUUCCCACCCCUCGAGCAAGGGGCGCCCCGGCGGUCCCGGGCUACAGACCACCCCCGCCACCUGCACACGAGGCCUAUGAAGAAUAUGGAUAUGAUGAUGGAUAUGGAGGUGAAUAUGAUGAUCCAAGCUAUGAGGCAUAUGAUAACAGUUAUGCCACCCAAACACAAAGGGGAAUAGGGUCACUUGCAGAAGACACCAUGACAAAGUCUCGGGAUCAGACUGGAAUGAAACCCACAAUAAGUCUCCAUGGCUGAAUGAACGAAGAGGCACCUCAAGAGCACUUUGAAAUGGGCACAAUAGUCAACUUGAAGAAAGAACAGCAGGACCCUCACUAUGGAGGAACUUUUAAGUCUGUUGAACCACCACCACUGUCCAGGAUUCAUGGGCUGAAAACUCUAGAGCACCAGGAGAAAAGGAUUAGAAAGUCUGCCUCUCUGGUUACUCAGAAGUCGUGAGGGAAUCAGACUGUACUGCAUGCAAAGUGUUGCCAAACUCCUCAGCCAAGACCAACAGAAUAACUUCGUGGAAGUGGAUUAGUUGCUGAUGAAUCAGAUGAGAACCCUGGUGGCCAGCGGAGCCAUCUUCAGCUCUGCUACCACAUCUCUAGUCAUCUCCACUGACCUUUGUGUCUCUGCCAGCACCAGCAGUUUCAUUUCGUGUCUCACAGUCAGAUACUAAAAAUCUGGGACGGACUGGCCGGUCAUAGGACAAACCAGGAAGGGUAUGGUCUAUUUAAUCCACUUGUGCAUGACCUAUCCAACCAUAUCCAAUGUAAACAAUGGUGCCUGACAGGGAGAAGCAAAGGAAGUCAGUGAUUGUCCAUCGAAGCUUAAAAUUUGGGUUUGAUAUAAUUUCCCUGUUCCACAGUGCCUGGCACGAACACUCCCACAUCAAUCAGUUCUGGGUUUUGUGAACAUGUAGUUGGUAUAUUGGCAAUGGCUUCCAGGGCUGGUUCGUUGACUUGUUCUUCUGUCUUUUCUUCUGUCUGGCUUUUGUUAAAAAUAUAGUUCAGCUGCAAAAUGAAUUGCUGAGUGGGUGCUUACUAAAGAAAGAAGAGUCUGUGACUCCCAUCCUAGGCUGCAAAUAUCAGAAAAUCUGUAACAUACUGACAGGAAUAAUAAAUAAUUCAGUGAUAAAAGAUAGAUGGAAAUAGUGCAAAACAUUACUGUUACAGAUGUCAUCCCAUAGUGACACAGGCCUUCUCACAACAUAUCUUCAUCUAUGCUGUGACUGCAAGAUGACAUAGGUAAAGCACAUUUCUCUUGCCUGCCUGGACCCGGCCUCGCUAAUGACAGUAACCCAAUUUUAGGGCCUUGAAGCAAUUCUUGGCAAAAUAUUUACUGUUAAUCUUGCAAAUAUUUUAUGUAAUGCUAUAGGCAAGAGUCCUCUGGACACACAUUCCAUGAUAGUAUGCAGAUAAUUUUGGGACAAUGACUUCUUUUUAGUCUGUCAAACACACACUGCAAACCCAUCCUGCAUCUGCUAAGCAAACAACCCAACUUCUGUUUCUGAUGCAGAAAUGCAUGUUACAGGUCAUGUCAUCCUGAACUUCCUCACUAAGAAGUUAAUGGUAAUACAGAACCUAAAUCUUAACAUAAAGAAAGAUGGCAUAAUAUGUCUGAAAUAAAUUCUAAGUUUUUACAGGAUCUGAAGACUUACACACAUUGAGUUAGAUAACUGCCGGAAUGAAAUUAGCUUAGAGGACUGAAGAAGAGAGAAAGGAAAGGUGCAGUAUCAGAGAAUUUCAAGCAUAGCUUUCAUCUAACUGAAUUAUAUUUAACUGAAAAGAUAUAAUUAUCUGUGGUUCAUACCAAUAGCUGUGCUGUUGUGUACAAAGUCCCAUGGGGCUCCUGUUUCUCAAUGCUAGUAACAAAAAUAUAAUGAGAAAAACAUGUUUCAGGGCAUAUAUGCUGCCUAUGUCCACUUUCCUGCUAUGGCAGCUAGUCGCUGUGGCCAUAUCAAUGUAGUAGUAUCCCAGUAUCUAUAUGUUCAUAGCCAUACCUAUCAAUUCAACCUGUAAUAGGCUGUGCAACUCUGAUUCAUGUUCUUAUAACAACUCAGACCCACUGAAAAUUUCAAGAGCACAUUCAGCCAUUGAGAUUCAAUAUAUGGCAAGUUACUGACUUUGAAAAGAAACUUUGGUUUUUUUGUUAUUCUUGUUCCUAUCGUUAAGUUCUUGCUUUCUACUGUACAGUUCUUUUUUCUGUAGUGCAGGCUGCUAAGACAGGAGAUUUAGGGAUCACUCACUUAUUUCUGAUAUGCAGAAAUAUAACAUGGACCACAGUUCAGCCCAUGUCACUUAUUUGGCUUAAGGUACAAUCACUUCAGUGCAGAGACAUGCUGCAAAAUUAUAUAGAAAGUAAAACAAAGAAUAUUUUAUCCAGUUGAAUCUCCAGGAAUUAUUUACAUCAGCAGUGUAUAUUUGCUUAACCUCCAGUUCAUCCUGGUUACCCUUGCUUGACCUCCAGAUAUCAAGACUUUGUAUGUACAUCUAAUUCCAAAGAUGAGUUCUUCACGGAGUGCUGCAAGUAGAAUAACAUUUUCAGACUACUACACUUGUAAAGACAGCAGUACAUAGUUCUGCUGGGCGUACAUGUUCUUUGAUGAACUCUAUCCAACGGACUAGUCUUCUCUCCAAACUCCUUUUGGAUUCAGCUUAAAAUAAUGGCCCUAUGUUUCAGUAACAAAAAUGUAGUAUAAACAUGGGGAGGGAAGGGGUGAAGAAUAGUAAAACAGAACUAGAGUGCUUAGUAAUGUCCAUCACCAUAGCUUUUAAAAACUCAUUAGACAAAUUGCAGUAAAGAAUCAUGUAAAUAAAUGUGUGCACACAGGUAGAUGAAAUGAUCUAGGUAGACCUUAUGGUCCAUACUAGCUCUAUUUUCUGUUACCUUUUCCCCUUUUUGUUCACGCAUGACUAGGUUUACUUCAAGAUAACAGCAAAGGAUAAUCUAAUUGGACUAAGGAAGAUGUUUUGUUGCAAAUAAAAAGAAAUCAACCCAAUUUUCAAACUCCAUUUUGAUUUCUGGGGUUUUUAUGACUGAUAGAAAUCCUUUUAGGAACAAUUAAAAUAAAUCGGAUGUUUCAAGCACUAAAAAAGUAAAUGUAUUGAAUUUAUUUUUAAUAGAGUGGGAUACUGACUUUCGUAUGUUUUCCAUGUUGUAUUAAAUUGCAGUAAAUAAUUCUAGUCCAUUCCUUUAGGAUAAACUGAUAAUAAAGAUAUCAGAUCUUAUUUUUUCACAGGUAGCAUUUUCACCUAUAUACAAAAAUGUACACAAGUGGAAACUAUAAUACAUCUCAUAAUAAAGUACAAUGCAGCACUGGGUGAAC